ensembl:snRNA U4 U4 spliceosomal RNA
AGCUUUGCACAGUGGCAGUAUCAUAGCCAAUGAUGUUUAUCCAAGGCACAAUUAUUACUAAUUGAAAACUUUUCCCAAUACUCCACCAUGAUGACUGGAAAUACAGUAGGCAUUGGCAAUUUUUGGAAGUCUCUACAGGGA